rnacentral:rRNA from 1 species
GGGUUCGAUCAUGGCUCAGAUUGAACGCUGGCGGGAUGCUUUACACAUGCAAGUCGAACGGCAGCACGGACUUCGGUCUGGUGGCGAGUGGCGAACGGGUGAGUAAUGUAUCGGAACGUGCCUAGUAGCAGGGGAUAACUACGCGAAAGCGUAUAAUACCGCAUACGCCCUUCGGGGAAAGCGAGACCUUCGGGCCUCGCACUAUUAGAGAAGCGGCCGAUAUCGGAUUAGCUAGUUGGUGGGAACGGCUCGCAGGCGACGAUCCGUAGCUGGUUUAGAGAGGACGACCAGCCGCACUGGGACUGAGACACGGCCCAGACUCCUGCAGGAGGCGCUGACGUGGGGAAUUUUGGACAAUAUGGAAACCUGAUCCAGCCAUCCCGCGUGUGGUGAAGCCUUCGGGUUGUAAAGCACUUUUGGCAGGAAGAAACGGCGCGGGAUAAUACCCCGUGCCAGUACCAGAAUAAGCACCGGCUAACUACGUGCCAGCAGCCGCGGUGAUAAUACGUAGGGUGCAAGCGUUAAUCAGGUACUGGGCGUAAAGCGGUACUUGAGCGUUCAGGAAAAAGAUGUGAAAUCCCCAGGCUUAACUGAGGCUACAUUUCGCUACCGAGCUAAGGUGUGUCCAGGAGGUGGAAUUCCGCGAUAGCCUUAGUGAAAUGCGUAGAUAUGCGGAAGACACCGAUGGCAGCAGCCUCUAAGGAUAACACUGACGCUCAUGCACACGAAGCGUGGGGAGCAAACAGGAUUAGAUACCUGGUCCCGCCUAAACGAUGUCAACUAGCUGUUGGGGCCUUCGGGCCUUGGUGGCCACAGCUAACGCGUGGUGACCGCCUGGGAGUACGGUCGCAAGAUUAAAACUCAAAGGAAUUGACGGGGACCCGCACAAGCGGGUGGAUGAUGUGGAUUAAUUCGAUGCAACGCGAAAAACCUUACCCUUGACAUGUCUGGAAUCCCGAAGAGAUUUGGGGUGCUCGCAAGAGAACCAGACACAGGUGCUGCAUGGCUGUCGUGGCUCGUGUCGUGAGAUGUUAGGGUUAAGUCCACAACGAGCGCAACCCUUAUGGUAAAUUUAUACGAAAGGGCACUCUAAUGAGACUGCCGGUGACAAACCGGAGGAAGGUGGGGACGACGUCAAGUCCUCAUGGCCUUAUGGGUAGGGAUUCACGUCGCUGUGGUCGGGACAGAGGUCGCCAACCCGCGAAGGCCAAUCCCAGAAACCCGAUCGUAGUCCGGAUCGCAGUGCAACUCGACUGCGUGAAGUCGGGAAUCGCUAGUAAUCGCGGAUCAGCAUGUCGCGGUGGUCCCGUUCCCGGGUCUUGUACACCGCCCCUCUGCGGGAGUGGGUUUUGCAAGUAGUUAGCUAAUGCCGUAAGGGCGAUUACCACGGAUUCAUGACUGGGGUGAAAGUCGUAGCUAAAGGUAA